GGAGAGAUGGCCGAGUGGCUUAAGGCGCACGCUUGGAAAGCGUGUGUACGUUAAAAGCGUACCGUGGGUUCGAAUCCCACUCUCUCCGCCA
rnacentral:tRNA from 1 species